rnacentral:rRNA from 1 species
AACGAACGCUGGCGGCAGGCUUAACACAUGCAAGUCGAGCGCCCCGCAAGGGGAGCGGCAGACGGGUGAGUAACGCGUGGGAAUCUACCCUUCUCUACGGAACAACUCCGGGAAACUGGAGCUAAUACCGUAUACGCCCCUCGGGGGAAAGAUUUAUCGGAGAUGGAUGAGCCCGCGUUGGAUUAGCUAGUUGGUGGGGUAAUGGCCUACCAAGGCGACGAUCCAUAGCUGGUCUGAGAGGAUGAUCAGCCACAUUGGGACUGAGACACGGCCCAAACUCCUACGGGAGGCAGCAGUGGGGAAUAUUGCACAAUGGGCGCAAGCCUGAUCCAGCCAUGCCGCGUGAGUGAUGAAGGCCUUAGGGUUGUAAAGCUCUUUCACCGAUGAAGAUAAUGACGGUAGUCGGAGAAGAAGCCCCGGCUAACUUCGUGCCAGCAGCCGCGGUAACAC